AUUGAACGCUGGCGGCAGGCCUAACACAUGCAAGUCGAGCGGAGCGGCGGACGGGCGAGUAAUUCCUAGGAAUCUGCCUGGUAGUGGGGGAUAACGUCCGGAAACGGGCGCUAAUACCGAAUACUAUCAGAUGAGCCUAGGUCGGAUUAGCUAGUUGGUGGGGUAAAGGCCUACCAAGGCGACGAUCCGUAACUGGUCUGAGAGGAUGAUGAGUCACACGGGAACUAAGAAACGGUCCAGAAUAGGAAGGGAGGCAGAAGUGGGGAAUAUUGGACAAUGGGGGAAAGCAUUAUCCAGCCAUGCCGCGUGUGUGAAGAAGGUCUUCGGAUUUUAAAGCGCUGUAAGUUGGGAGGCGUUACCAACAGAAUAAGCACCGGCUAACUUCGUGGCAGCCGCCGCGGUAAUUC
rnacentral:rRNA from 1 species